GAUGAACGCUAGCGGCAGGCCUAACACAUGCAAGUCGAGGGGCAGCACAGAAACAGCAAUGUUUUGGUGGCGACCGGCGGACGGGUGCGUAACGCGUACGCAACCUACCUUUAACAGGGGGAUAACGGAGAGAAAUUUCCACUAAUACCCCAUAACAUCGAUCAAGGCAUCUUGAUUGGUUGAAAACUCCGGUGGUUAAAGAUGGGCAUGCGUUGUAUUAGGUAGUUGGUGAGGUAAUGGCUCACCAAGCCUACGAUACAUGGGGGGACUGAGAGGUUAGCCCCCCACACUGGUACUGAGACACGGACCAGACUCCUACGGGAGGCAGCAGUGAGGAAUGUUGGUCAAUGGGGGCAACCCUGAACCAGCCAUGCCGCGUGCAGGAAGACGGCUCUAUGAGUUGUAAACUGCUUUUAAACAGGGAUAAAGCACAGUAUGUAUACUGUGUUGAAGGUACUGUAAGAAUAAGGAUCGGCUAACUCCGUGCCAGCCGCCGCCGUAA
rnacentral:rRNA from 1 species